ACGUGGUAUCCUGUCUGAAUAUGGGGGGACCAUCCUCCAAGGCUAAAUACUCCUGACUGACCGAUAGUGAACCAGUACCGUGAGGGAAAGGCGAAAAGAACCCCGGCGAGGGGAGUGAAAAAGAACCUGAAACCGUGUACGUACAAGCAGUGGGAGCACGCUUAGGCGUGUGACUGCGUACCUUUUGUAUAAUGGGUCAGCGACUUAUAUUCUGUAGCAAGGUUAACCGAAUAGGGGAGCCGAAGGGAAACCGAGUCUUAACUGGGCGUUAAGUUGCAGGGUAUAGACCCGAAACCCGGUGAUCUAGCCAUGGGCAGGUUGAAGGUUGGGUAACACUAACUGGAGGACCGAACCGACUAAUGUUGAAAAAUUAGCGGAUGACUUGUGGCUGGGGGUGAAAGGCCAAUCAAACCGGGAGAUAGCUGGUUCUCCCCGAAAGCUAUUUAGGUAGCGCCUCGUGAAUUCAUCUCCGGGGGUAGAGCACUGUUUCGGCAAGGGGGUCAUCCCGACUUACCAACCCGAUGCAAACUGCGAAUACCGGAGAAUGUUAUCACGGGAGACACACGGCGGGUGCUAACGUCCGUCGUGAAGAGGGAAACAACCCAGACCGCCAGCUAAGGUCCCAAAGUCAUGGUUAAGUGGGAAACGAUGUGGGAAGGCCCAGACAGCCAGGAUGUUGGCUUAGAAGCAGCCAUCAUUUAAAGAAAGCGUAAUAGCUCACUGGUCGAGUCGGCCUGCGCGGAAGAUGUAACGGGGCUAAACCAUGCACCGAAGCUGCGGCAGCGACGCUUAUGCGUUGUUGGGUAGGGGAGCGUUCUGUAAGCCUGUGAAGGUGUACUGUGAGGUAUGCUGGAGGUAUCAGAAGUGCGAAUGCUGACAUAAGUAACGAUAAAGCGGGUGAAAAGCCCGCUCGCCGGAAGACCAAGGGUUCCUGUCCAACGUUAAUCGGGGCAGGGUGAGUCGACCCCUAAGGCGAGGCCGAAAGGCGUAGUCGAUGGGAAACAGGUUAAUAUUCCUGUACUUGGUGUUACUGCGAAGGGGGGACGGAGAAGGCUAUGUUGGCCGGGCGACGGUUGUCCCGGUUUAAGCGUGUAGGCUGGUUUUCCAGGCAAAUCCGGAAAAUCAAGGCCGAGGCGUGAUGACGAGGCACUACGGUGCUGAAGCAACAAAUGCCCUGCUUCCAGGAAAAGCCUCUAAGCAUCAGGUAACAUCAAAUCGUACCCCAAACCGACACAGGUGGUCAGGUAGAGAAUACCAAGGCGCUUGAGAGAACUCGGGUGAAGGAACUAGGCAAAAUGGUGCCGUAACUUCGGGAGAAGGCACGCUGAUACGUAGGUGAAGCGACUUGCUCGUGGAGCUGAAAUCAGUCGAAGAUACCAGCUGGCUGCAACUGUUUAUUAAAAACACAGCACUGUGCAAACACGAAAGUGGACGUAUACGGUGUGACGCCUGCCCGGUGCCGGAAGGUUAAUUGAUGGGGUUAGCGCAAGCGAAGCUCUUGAUCGAAGCCCCGGUAAACGGCGGCCGUAACUAUAACGGUCCUAAGGUAGCGAAAUUCCUUGUCGGGUAAGUUCCGACCUGCACGAAUGGCGUAAUGAUGGCCAGGCUGUCUCCACCCGAGACUCAGUGAAAUUGAACUCGCUGUGAAGAUGCAGUGUACCCGCGGCAAGACGGAAAGACCCCGUGAACCUUUACUAUAGCUUGACACUGAACAUUGAGCCUUGAUGUGUAGGAUAGGUGGGAGGCUUUGAAGUGUGGACGCCAGUCUGCAUGGAGCCGACCUUGAAAUACCACCCUUUAAUGUUUGAUGUUCUAACGUGGACCCGUGAUCCGGGUUGCGGACAGUGUCUGGUGGGUAGUUUGACUGGGGCGGUCUCCUCCUAAAGAGUAACGGAGGAGCACGAAGGUUGGCUAAUCCUGGUCGGACAUCAGGAGGUUAGUGCAAUGGCAUAAGCCAGCUUGACUGCGAGCGUGACGGCGCGAGCAGGUGCGAAAGCAGGUCAUAGUGAUCCGGUGGUUCUGAAUGGAAGGGCCAUCGCUCAACGGAUAAAAGGUACUCCGGGGAUAACAGGCUGAUACCGCCCAAGAGUUCAUAUCGACGGCGGUGUUUGGCACCUCGAUGUCGGCUCAUCACAUCCUGGGGCUGAAGUAGGUCCCAAGGGUAUGGCUGUUCGCCAUUUAAAGUGGUACGCGAGCUGGGUUUAGAACGUCGUGAGACAGUUCGGUCCCUAUCUGCCGUGGGCGCUGGAGAACUGAGGGGGGCUGCUCCUAGUACGAGAGGACCGGAGUGGACGCAUCACUGGUGUUCGGGUUGUCAUGCCAAUGGCACUGCCCGGUAGCUAAAUGCGGAAGAGAUAAGUGCUGAAAGCAUCUAAGCACGAAACUUGCCCCGAGAUGAGUUCUCCCUGACCCUUUAAGGGUCCUGAAGGAACGUUGAAGACGACGACGUUGAUAGGCCGGGUGUGUAAGCGCAGCGAUGCGUUGAGCUAACCGGUACUAAUGAACCGUGAGGCUUAACCUUACAACGCCGAAG
rnacentral:rRNA from 1 species